AGACUUGACAUCUCAGCAAGUCAAGGCCAUGUGCAAGCCAUAGCUGUUUGGACAGAAACCCUGAGUAAAUCAAGAAUGACAGCCUGCAAAGGGAAGAGAAAAAUGAAGCAGAUAUGUACAGAAUCAGACAACGGACCCUGUAGAAGAGCCAAGAAGCCUGCUGCAGGUGGAGAGAAGGGACCUGCUGCACAGGACAGUUGGCCAGGGUUUGGACACAAAUGAAUCAAAGAAGAGGAGGAAUAGCGGGGACUUCGAAGGAGGAUCGCCUGGAAAGAAUGUUAGAUGAGGAAACUGAGACACAGAAGUUAAGCAACUUGUCCACGACUACCAUUUAGAAAGUGGGACAUCCUGGAUGCGGCUGCAAACCCUGUGAGUCCAGAUACUGCUGGCUGACUUGCGAGACUUUGCUGCCUCCUGAUGCUGUGGACUCGGUUAACCAAGGACACAUGUCAAGGUUCUGGUUUGGGCCUGGUCUUGCUUCGUGUUUUCAUUAAGUAGGUGAUUAUUUUGGUUUAAAUGAGGGCAGAAACUCAUUGCAUCUCUCCACACCCCCACUGAAACGAGAGUAAAGGGAUGUGUACUAGUGUGAACACACAAGGACAAGGAGAAUUGGAGAGGAGACAUGAGAGUACGGAAACGGCUGGGAGAGGGAUGACUAAUUUAUGGAGUGAGGGAUGCGACACAGAAAGUGUCUGCAAUGAGGGCCACCCACAAGACAAGAAGGAUGCCUGUUAUAUCAGCACUGCUGAAUCCUUGAGAGGUGCAGAACCUUGAGGCACAAAUACGGCACAAAAAAUGCAGCCCUUUCCCCAGUCUCCUCCUUACCACAAACACUCCAUCCCACCUCCCUUUCCCCCAGAAAAGCAAAGUUUUAUUCUCUGGAGAAGGUGAACGGAAGGAAAGGCUCCGGAUUCAGAGACAGCAGGCCCAUUGGAAGGCAGGGAAGGGGGCUGGUCUGAAAAUGGGAUUGUAUGGAAAUCUGCACAGGAGUGGGAAGCUGUCCAGCCCUUUCCUAUGCCUAACCUCAGAAAUUAUCAGCCAGGCAUGUGAGCUUACUCCACUUCCUGCGGAUAUUGGAUGAUUCCCUUCUGAAGACACUGACAGGUUGUGGAAAGAACCUCUACAAACCGAUAUUUGUGUGUGUUUUUGUGGAGUGGAAUUCCAAGAUAAAAUAGAUGGUGCCAUACCCAAUCACAUGCCAAAACAACAACAAAAGAGCCUACCAGUAGAUAAAUACCAACCCUGCUCCAGAGCUUCCAAUUAUCCUUGACAAUCAAAGAUGCCAACGUUUGGGGGAAAGGUCCAACAACAAAGCAGGGAGGGGAAAGAAUUCUAAAGGAAAGAGAUAACACAAGGAACAAAAGAAAACAGCAACAAAAACCAAACCCUUCGAUUAAUAUCCUCAGAGGAAUAUGAGAAAAGAAGAUGCUGUAUCAAUAAAGCAAGAUCAGGAUAUUAUGAAAAAGGAACAGCUGGAAAACAAGGAAGAGCUUGGAAAAUUAAAAUAAGUCCAAAAUAAGAAUUCAACAGAAAGGCUGGAAGACAAGUAGAGAAAAAUUUUCAGAAAAUAUAAUAAAAAGAGAAACAAAAUAUAAAGAAA
ensembl:lncRNA novel transcript